rnacentral:rRNA from 1 species
UACGAAGGGUGCUAGCGUUGCUCGGAAUCACUGGGCGUAAAGCGCACGUAGGCGGCUUUUUAAGUCAGGGGUGAAAUCCUGGAGCUCAACUCCAGAACUGCCUUUGAUACUGGGAAGCUUGAGUCCGGAAGAGGUGAGUGGAACUGCGAGUGUAGAGGUGAAAUUCGUAGAUAUUCGCAAGAACACCAGUGGCGAAGGCGGCUCACUGGCCCGAUACUGACGCUGAGGCACGAAAGCGUGGGGAGCAAACAGG